GCCAUGGACCUGGACACCUUCACGUUCCUGUUAGACGCUGCGUUCCACUUCGUGUACGCCGUCACCUCGGCCAUCGAGUUCAUCAUUUACUUCAACAACGGUUUCGGAAGCACCGGCGACAUCUUCGGCCUGGUAUUCUGCGCCGUCGUUUUCUGCUUCCACGCACUCCAGCUGAGGUUCUUCCAGCAGCACAUCACCGUACAGCAGCUGAACGCUCCUCAGUGAACCAAGAUGGCGGCCAUGGAGGCAGACAUGCAGCAGCUGGACACCGUCUUCCACAUAUACUGCGCCGUCUGUGCCGUUAUCAAGAUCAUCGGCGUGGUGUUCGCCAGUGGCACGGACGACUACCGCGUCGCCAACUUCGUACGCUACAUCUUGCUGCUGGCGUUUCACGGCUUGAGACUUCGACAAAUGUGACGCGCAAUAUGAAGACCAAACGUGACGCAGAUUCCUGGUCCAAAUGUUCUUGAUCAGGAAAAACGGAUAAGCGUUGCCUCUGUCGAGGUUGCGGACAAGUCCAGCGGAAAUUGUGGGCCCCAAUGCCCCUCCAGCAUCGGCCAUGAGCCUGCUGCGAUGGGAGACUGUGUUCUUCCUGGGCGACGAGGUGUACCACAUGUCACGGGCCGCCUCCGACCUGGGCGUGCUGCUGGACGCCUGCUUCUACGGCAUCCCCAGCAUGGCCGCAAUGGUGCGCGUCAUGUCCUCGCUCUUCAUGUUCGUCUUCCACACGCUGUUCUUGGG